UCAAAUAUUAUAUUCUUGCUUUCGAAAAUGUUACGCUUUCCUUCUGCUGCUUCUUCGUUCCGGCAUUGACCUCUACUUUUCAAAUUUCAUAUUUGAAUGGGUUUUCGUAGAAACAAAGCAUAGCCUCAGUGUGGCCUCACCUGUUCUGCUUUAAAAAAAUUCAUCUUUUUGUUCUUCUCUUUUCUUUCAUCAAAUUCUCCAUAAACAAACCCUUCGAACCUGGCACACCAAUCCUAACUUCUGGGUCAGCUCCAACUGGCUCACCUGCUUCUUCCCUCUCCCUCACUGAAAACAAUGGCAAUUCCAUUUUGUUUCUCCUUCUCUUUCUUCAUCUUCUCUUCGUUCUCCUUUCUCUCCUCUCUCCUUUCUUCUGUUUUAAGUUGUUGUAUGUUAAAAUCAAUGUUCAUUGAUUUUUGGUUACGAGUCAUGUUCUAUUUUUAGGUUUAAUUUGUUUCAAUAGACUUUUGUGAAUAACAGAAAUAUCUUUUGAUUUUGUUACUAAUCAUUUGUCUUCACCUCAUAACAAUGGAUGCUUCAAGCACGAGGUGCCACAAGUUACAUAUAUGGUAUAAGAAAGGAUAAUUUUGGAGAGGAGAUAAAGAAGAAAUGUACACAUGAUGGUGUAAAGUGUUGUUGAAGCUUCCUCUGUUGGCUUGGUAUCCCUGCAAGUUCUGUUGUAGUAGAUUCCAAGGUGAAGGUGUCACUUUAAAGUUUCCUUCAUGUUUGAACAUGCUACUAUCCAUUUGGGAGCAACUUACAUUCAAUUUUUCAUUUAAGGAAUCAAAAAGUUUUCUACCAGCAACAAGAAGCCAUGGAGGUUGUCACCUGUGUUGGUUGAAGAAGCUCACUUCACUUGGUAAGGUUAUUUGUAUAUAUCUUCUCAUGCUCUGUGCACAACCUUCUUUUUAAGUUUCUAUCUUUUUUCAUGAUCUCUUUUAUUUGAAGAAGAGCAACGACCAAGUGCUUGCUAUCAAUGAGGUACAAUCUCCUUUUUUUGAAGCAUAUUAUCUGUUAGUGAAUUUACAUUUGGUAAUAAGCUUGUGGGUAUGUGUUCAUCACUACAAGAUUUCCACAUUUGGGUUUCUCUCCGAUUGAAAAAAAUUGGUCGCUUUACACUAAAUUUGUUUGCUUUCACUUCUUACCAAUCUGAUGCAUUCUUGGAUUUUUUUUUUUUUUUUUUUUUGCUAUUUCAAGUUUGCUUCUCCUAAUGUGUAUGAGUGGUUUCAGAAUUCACGGUAAAGGAAUGUGUAAUAGGUUUUUAUGAAGAAAAUUUUUUCUUUUUUUGGGUAAUUAAGUCAGAGAUGCUUUUCAAGCUUUUGCUACAUUGCUCGAUCAGAUUUUGUUCUGGAUUAAGGUGUUGCAGAUGUUGUCAUUAAUGCACAAACAUGUUAUUUCUAUCGAUGGAGGUGUUGUUCUAAUGCCCAACAAUUGGAAAUAUAUGCGUAGGGGGAUUAGUGUUUGGUUGGAUGUACCUGUAGAAGCCUUGGCUUAGAGAAUAACAAUUAUAGGAACUGAUUCUCGCCCACUCCUACAUUCUGAAGCAAGAAAUGCAUACAUGGAGAUAUGGCAGCAAAAUUAAGCCAAAGAGACGUGUCAGAUUUUUCUCCAACUGCUAUUGCUAUGGAGGCACCGGAACAAAUCAAAUGCUUUCUUAUAAGUGAAGAUGGGUUUUAAGCAUGUGCUAGCACAAUCUUGAGACACAAGCAUGCUUUUAAUUGUAUAUGUUUUUCUCUUUAAUAAUAAUUAUAGCAUGACAAUAUAUUGUAUUUUAAACAUUUGUGUAUUUAUUAUUAGAGGAGUUCUUACCUAGCUUCGUAGAGUCUUAGUUAGGUGCAAGACAUUGCAAAAGGAGUUCAUACCUAGCUCUGACUGAUUCUCAGGGUUAUGGUUGUUCUGGUCUUUCCAUAACUGGAAGUGUUGUUGCUACCGUUGAAGUUGCUAGAGUUGAUGCAAGUUGUUCAACUUUCUAUUUGGUUCAUUGUUCCUUGGCAAUAUUCACUAUUGCUAAUGUCUUUUAUUUGUUAUUAAUUAAUCUAUUAAUGGUAACCUUUUUGCUAUUAGUUAUUCAUAUUUCUUGAAGUUUAAUGUCUUUGAUUGGCCAUUAAGUAUAGCAUUGUGUGGGUCUGAAGCUCAAAAGCAAAAGUAUUUUCCUUCUUUGGCUCAAAUGAAAACUAUAGCAUGUUAGGCUUUGAUUGUACCUAACUAUUGAAGUGAUGCCAGUGCUUUCAAGGCCCCAGCAACAAAGCAUUCAUUUGUUGUGUAAAGUCCAAUGCGUUUGUUUGUUAAGUUCAACUGUUGGAGAAAAAGCUGCAACAUUCAUGAUAGACUUGAAGAGAAGGCUUGAGUUAAGUCCAAACCUCCUGGACCCAAUGCUGAACCUCAACUGCUCUUGUGCAUUGUCAUUGUUUGGAUUUGAGUCUUGGUUUUGGAAAGAAGUUAGAAUGUAAUGCUUUUCAGUUGACUGUCAUAUGAUAUUAAAUGAUGUUUUGUUUUUUUAGAAA